CCUACGGGAGGCAGCAGUGGGGAAUAUUGCACAAUGGGGGAAACCCUGAUGCAGCGACGCCGCGUGAGUGAAGAAGUAUUUCGGUAUGUAAAGCUCUAUCAGCAGGGAAGAAACCCACCCUCCGGGGUGGCUGACGGUACCUGACUAAGAAGCCCCGGCUAACUACGUGCCAGCAGCCGCGGUAAUACGGAGGGGGCAAGCGUUAUCCGGAUUUACUGGGUGUAAAGGGAGAGUAGGUGGCAAGGCAAGUCAGAUGUGAAAACCCGGGGCCCAACCCCGGGAGUGCAUUUGAAACUGUCUGGCUAGAGUGCAGGAGAGGUAAGUAGAAUUCCUAGUGUAGCGGUGAAAUGCAUAGAGAUUAGGAGGAAUACCAGAGGCGAAGGCAGCUUACUGGACUGUAACUGACACUGAGGCUCGAAAGCGUGGGGAGCAAACAGGAUUAGAUACCCCAGUAGUC
rnacentral:rRNA from 1 species